UGCAAGUCGUGCGGUAACAGCCAAGAAAGCUUGCUUUCUUUGCUGACGAGCGGCGGACGGGUGAGUAAUGCCUGGGAAUAUGCCUUGAUGUGGGGGAUAACCAUUGGAAACGAUGGCUAAUACCGCAUAAUGCCUACGGGCCAAAGAGGGGGAUCUUCGGACCUCUCGCGUCAAGAUUAGCCCAGGUGGGAUUAGCUAGUUGGUGAGGUAAUGGCUCACCAAGGCGACGAUCCCUAGCUGGUCUGAGAGGAUGAUCAGCCACACUGGAACUGAGACACGGUCCAGACUCCUACGGGAGGCAGCAGUGGGGAAUAUUGCACAAUGGGCGCAAGCCUGAUGCAGCCAUGCCGCGUGUGUGAAGAAGGCCUUCGGGUUGUAAAGCACUUUCAGUCGUGAGGAAGGUAGUUGCGUUAAUAGCGUAAUUAUUUGACGUUAGCGACAGAAGAAGCACCGGCUAACUCCGUGCCAGCAGCCGCGGUAAUACGGAGGGUGCGAGCGUUAAUCGGAAUUACUGGGCGUAAAGCGCAUGCAGGUGGUUUGUUAAGUCAGAUGUGAAAGCCCGGGGCUCAACCUCGGAAUUGCAUUUGAAACUGGCAGACUAGAGUACUGUAGAGGGGGGUAGAAUUUCAGGUGUAGCGGUGAAAUGCGUAGAGAUCUGAAGGAAUACCGGUGGCGAAGGCGGCCCCCUGGACAGAUACUGACACUCAGAUGCGAAAGCGUGGGGAGCAAACAGGAUUAGAUACCCUGGUAGUCCACGCCGUAAACGAUGUCUACUUGGAGGUUGUGGCCUUGAGCCGUGGCUUUCGGAGCUAACGCGUUAAGUAGACCGCCUGGGGAGUACGGUCGCAAGAUUAAAACUCAAAUGAAUUGACGGGGGCCCGCACAAGCGGUGGAGCAUGUGGUUUAAUUCGAUGCAACGCGAAGAACCUUACCUACUCUUGACAUCCAGAGAAGCCAGCGGAGACGCAGGUGUGCCUUCGGGAACUCUGAGACAGGUGCUGCAUGGCUGUCGUCAGCUCGUGUUGUGAAAUGUUGGGUUAAGUCCCGCAACGAGCGCAACCCUUAUCCUUGUUUGCCAGCGAGUAAUGUCGGGAACUCCAGGGAGACUGCCGGUGAUAAACCGGAGGAAGGUGGGGACGACGUCAAGUCAUCAUGGCCCUUACGAGUAGGGCUACACACGUGCUACAAUGGCGCAUACAGAGGGCUGCCAACCAGCGAUGGUGAGCGAAUCCCAAAAAGUGCGUCGUAGUCCGGAUUGGAGUCUGCAACUCGACUCCAUGAAGUCGGAAUCGCUAGUAAUCGUGGAUCAGAAUGCCACGGUGAAUACGUUCCCGGGCCUUGUACACACCGCCCGUCACACCAUGGGAGUGGGCUGCAAAAGAAGUGGGUAGUAUAACC
rnacentral:rRNA from 1 species